rnacentral:lncRNA from 1 species
UGUCAUUUUCAGCUGAUGCGUCACAGCAUGAAAGAGUCUGAAGGUUACAUCUAUUUCCCAUUCUUAGCUUGUUACAAGGCAGGAGGAACAGAAGGACGAAGGAUCUCACGGCUAUGAUUUAUACAUGAGGAGCAGGAGUAGUGUUAAGUCCUUAGGCCAACACUUAAAUCUAAGAUUACCUGGAAACUAAACAGGAGAAGGAAAAACACAGGCUUUAUUAUAAACAACCAGUAUCAAAUAAACUCUGAAAGAGUUCUCUGGAAAUGCUGUUGAAAUUCAGCUCAAACCUUUGUUUAUCUGUUUGAUUUUCACUGAGGCUGAGGCUAGGAGAAGCAGAAAGGUAAAUAUCCUAUGUGAUGUCUGUCUUUGAGAACUAUGGAGAAGUCGGUUAACUGAUGAAGUUCAUGCAUCGAGGAGAAAAUCCCCUUUGAGCCACUUCAUAUCUUGAGACGUGCCAAUCUUUGGGACCUGAUAUUAAAGUCCUGGGAGCCUCAGACGAGGUCCAGUUGGCAGGAUAGAGCAGCAAAUGACAUUUUAGAGACUUGCCUAAUCUGAUGAACAAUUAAAUCAUGUUCCCCUGAAAUUUGUCUUUCCAAAUAUUGUCUAUGCGCAAGUCAAGAUGAAAACUCAAAUGGUGAAAAUAUACUGGUUUAGAAAUGAAAUGACCUCUAACGUGAAUAGAAGCAGUCCCUCUGUUCACUGAGCCACUUUCCUAGAAUUCUUAACACGUCACCUGCAACCUCUCUUUUCCCAUUAAACCAUCUUCCCUCACAUUCACCCACUUCACUUCCUACCUGAAAAUGCAGAAGCAAAGAGGUGAAGGGAAUCCUAAGGAGACGGCAAGUUUACUGCAGCCUCAUAACCAAGAGACUUUCAUUUCACUGGGGAUUGGGACCUGUUUCCUGUGAAAAUAUCAAGUUUUCCUUUGAAUCAGGUUCAUGAAAGGACUAAGAUUAAGAUGCUUUAAAUUGUGCCUUUACAAAAGUAGAACACCAUGAGGAGAGAUGUGUCUAAUUUUGGGUAGGAAGAGUUGUUCAAAGGAAAGUGUGUGUGAGGUCUCUCACAGACUAGGUAUAAACUUUAAUGACAAGAUCCAUUGAGCCAGCACAACAGAAGGCAACCCAGGAAGAAGAUUGGAUGGUUAGAACUUGGGUUUAAUACUCACGGAUUCAAAGACAAAAAAAAACCAUAAAGACUAAUAAAAAUAUCUCAGCUUCAUCUCCUAAAAAAGGCUGAAAUGGAACAACUCAUCUUUCUCAGUAGGGUGGGUAGUCUCUUCAAGGCAAAUUAUCCUCAGAGGCUGCAUACUUGGAAAUUGCUAUAACUCUUAUCUGUAACUAUAACAUGCACAUCUGCUCCUAUCCAAGCAAAGUGGAAUGAGCUGUUAAAGAAGUAGGGUAAGUUUUAUUAAAAAGGAC